rnacentral:lncRNA from 1 species
UUAUUUUUAGUGUUUAGUUCUACAGACAUUCAGAAGGAGAUAUUAUAAGUUUUGGACAGGUUUUCAAAAUUGCCACCACUAGGAAAAGCAUAAGUACUCCAGAAUAGCCGGAGAAUCAAGCUCGAGCCCUACUGCCUAAGAAGUUGGACAAUCAGAAAGAGAGAGAAAAAGCUAACAUAUCCGUAGACCACACUUUACAAGACAAAACAAAUACAACCCACGCCAUAAAUUCCAUAACUCGGAUGACCGUAGCUCCCUGUCAUACAUGAAGGCUGAUAUUUAUGAUUUCCAUAGCAACAAUGCCACGCUUACCCUCGUUGAUUCUGAUUCCCAGGGUCACUCUAGGUAGCUGCCUCUUACCUAUGUGAUAUGAAUAAUGUAGUUGAUCAACGGUAAAGUUCAGAUGAAAAAGUCCACUUAUAAUGAAGCACAAAACCAUAGAUGAUAUCAUUGAGGAUAAUAUUUUUUUUCCUGUAAUCUCUCCUGUCAGGUGAAGUUACCAGAAGUGUGCAGAAAAAUCCUGAAAAUAUAAGCAUGCAGAGCUCGUUGCAACAGAUGGAUAUCCACCAAACCGAUGAGUCAAUGAAGACAACCUUAAAAUUGUAUAACAUCUCUUGUACAAACAUUUCUAUUGCACUACAAAGAAAGUGUAUAUAGCCUGCUUCGCUUCAUUCCUACCAACUUUAGUUAUAAGCUGCCGUGUUAGUUUGCCAUUCCCCUUACCACACCCAGGUUCAAGUGCAAGUUUCUUACAUAGAUCAGGCUCAUCAUUAGUAAAAGGGAAGAAAAAUUAUAUAAAUGCCUAUAGAUCUAGCAGGUGGGACAGACAGUAGCUUUCCACAAUUAACUUAAUAUGGAGCAUCUUGGGAAGAAAACCAUUCAAAAAGAUAUUCCUAAACAAUUAAGGAGAGAAAGAAUACUAGUUUAUAGAAUAAAUAGCUUUCCUCGGGAACCAAUUGGGACAUUUGAUUGGAGAGUAUGUAACGCAAGUUUCAUGAGACAUUUCAUUCGACAUUUCACUGGAUCAGAUUAAUGUGUUAUUGUGUAAAAUGGUUUUCCUAAAAUUAUGAAUUCAAAAACAACCAAACAUAAGGCAUCCAACUUGAUUAUUCUUUUUAAAAUAUGGUCUUCCCAGAGGUGAUACUACCGCAUGACUGAGAAUAUGGAACCUUUUGGAUUAAAUAAAUUUGUAUUUUUUAUUUCAUGUCUUAAUUAUCCUCUCUGUUGUAACUUAAUAUGGCUAGUAAUAUAGUGUCUCAAUUUUCUCCAUACGAUUUCAGCAUUCCCCUGUUUCCUUCCCUUUUGAUUGGACCCAUAUAAUACUGCAUGACAAUCUAGAGGUAAAUUUUGUAGUCCUUACUUUUUAAAAUCUGUUUAGCAAAAGUAACAAGUUUUAAUACAGUUUUAAGUUUAAGAUACUAAACUUGUCUAAUAUGGUCGAAGUUUUGGAUGUUUAAAGUAAAGUCACUAGGAAAAAAUAAUAAAUCCC